UACAUGGGGUGCAAACGUUGCUCGGAAUCUUGGGCGUAAAGCGCGCGUAGGCGGUUACUUAUGUCGGAUGUGAAAGCCCUCGGCUUAACUGAGGAAGUGCAUUCGAAACUGGGUAGCUAGAGUACUAAAGAGGGUCGCGGAAUUCCCGGUGUAGAGGUGAAAUUCGUAGAUAUCGGGAGGAACACCGGUGGCGAAGGCGGGUCUCUGGGCAGUAACUGACGCUGAGGAGCGAAAGCGUGGGGAGCGAACAGG
rnacentral:rRNA from 1 species